GGCUCGGGGAGGGGGCAUCUCAUCUUUAUGUGGCUGUCAUAAGGAGGAGCAGGGGGGCCCUGUCACAGAUCCUCACCCGCACCUGACCAGUGUCCUCAAUAUCGUCGUCCUGGGAGGAAGCGAGAGAUAGAAACAUCAAUGAUGAGCGAAUCAUUGGUCGGCUGCCUCCUGCACGGCCCCCGCUGGGGAUGGAGCCCACAACCUGGGCAUGUGCCCUUGACCAGAAUCAAACCCGGGACCCUUCAGUCUGCAGGCCAACACACUCUAUCCACUGAGCCAAACUGUUGCCUCUUCAGUAAGAUUCAUUAAGAACACCUCUUCAAGCCCAGCAAGCUGGCUCAGUGGUUGAGCGUCGAUCUAUGAACCAGGAAGUCAUCACAGUUGGAUUCCCAGUCAGAGCAUAUGCCCAGGUUGCAGGCUUGAUCCCCAGUGUGGGCAGUGUAGGAAGUGGCCCAUCACUGAUUCUCUCUCAUCAUUGCUGUUUCUUUCCCUCUCCCUUCUCUGAAAUCAAUAGAAAUAUAUUUAAAAAAUUAAAAGAAUACCUCUUCAAUAGA